rnacentral:rRNA from 1 species
GAUGAACGCUAGCGGCAGGCUUAACACAUGCAAGUCGAGGGGCAGCACAGGUAGCAAUACUGGGUGGCGACCGGCAAACGGGUGCGGAACACGUACGCAACUUACCCUAAACAGAUGAAUAGCCCUCGGAAACGGGGAUUAAUACAUCGUAAACUAUAAGAGUGGCAUCAUUUUUAUAGAAUAGCUGAGGCGGUUUAGGAUGGGCGUGCGACCCAUUAGCUAGUUGGUAAGGUAACGGCUUACCAAGGCGACGAUGGGUAAGUGGUGUGAGAGCACGACCAGUCACACGGGCACUGAGACACGGGCCCGACUCCUACGGGAGGCAGCAGUGAGGAAUAUUGGUCAAUGGACGCAAGUCUGAACCAGCCAUGCCGCGUGAAGGAUGAAGGCGUUCUGCGUUGUAAACUUCUUUUAUCAGGGAAGAAACCUCAGUAUUCUUAUUGAGCCGACGGUACCUGAUGAAUAAGCACCGGCUAACUCCGUGCCAGCCGCCGCAGUAAGAC